AUUGAACGCUGGCGGAAUGCUUUACACAUGCAAGUCGAACGGCAGCACGGGGGCAGCCCUGGUGGCGAGUGGCGAACGGGUGAGUAAUACAUCGGAACGUGCCCGGUCGUGGGGGAUAACGUAGCGAAAGUUACGCUAAUACCGCAUACGAUCUGAGGAUGAAAGCGGGGGACCUUCGGGCCUCGCGCGAUCGGAGCGGCCGAUGUCAGAUUAGGUAGUUGGUGGGGUAAAGGCCUACCAAGCCGACGAUCUGUAGCUGGUCUGAGAGGACGACCAGCCACACUGGAACUGAGACACGGCCCAGACUCCUACGGGAGGCAGCAGUGGGGAAUUUUGGACAAUGGGCGCAAGCCUGAUCCAGCCAUUCCGCGUGCAGGACGAAGGCCUUCGGGUCGUAAACUGCUUUUGUACGGAACGAAAAGGCUCUGGCUAAUACCUGGGGCUCAUGACGGUACCGUAAGAAUAAGCACCGGCUAACUACGUG
rnacentral:rRNA from 1 species